rnacentral:rRNA from 1 species
UGGGGAAUAUUGCGCAAUGGGGGAAACCCUGACGCAGCAACGCCGCGUGAUUGAAGAAGGCCUUCGGGUUGUAAAGAUCUUUAAUCAGGGACGAAACAAAUGACGGUACCUGAAGAAUAAGCUCCGGCUAACUACGUGCCAGCAGCCGCGGUAAUACGUAGGAAGCAAGCGUUAUCCGGAUUUACUGGGUGUAAAGGGCGCGCAGGCGGGCCGGUAAGUUGGAAGUGAAAUCUAUGGGCUUAACCCAUAAACUGCUUUCAAAACUGUUUUUCUUGAGUAGUGCAGAGGUAGGCGGAAUUCCCGGUGUAGCGGUGGAAUGCGUAGAUAUCGGGAGGAACACCAGUGGCGAAGGCGGCCUACUGGGCACCAACUGACGCUGAGGCUCGAAAGUGUGGGUAGCAAACAGGAUUAGAUACCCUGGUAGUCCAUGCCGUAAACGAUGAUUACUAGGUGUUGGAGGAUUGACCCCUUCAGUGCCGCAGUUAACACAAUAAGUAAUCCACCUGGGGAGUACGACCGCAAGGUUGAAACUCAAAGGAAUUGACGGGGGCCCGCACAAGCAGUGGAGUAUGUGGUUUAAUUCGAAGCAACGCGAAGAACCUUACCAGGUCUUGACAUCCGAUGCAUAGUGCAGAGAUGCAUGAAGUCCUUCGGGACAUCGAGACAGGUGGUGCAUGGUUGUCGUCAGCUCGUGUCGUGAGAUGUUGGGUUAAGUCCCGCAACGAGCGCAACCCUUAUUGCCAGUUACUACGCAAGAGGACUCUGGCGAGACUGCCGUUGACAAAACGGAGGAAGGUGGGGAUGACGUCAAAUCAUCAUGCCCCUUAUGGCCUGGGCUACACACGUACUACAAUGGCGUCUACAAAGAGCGGCAAGCCUGUGAAGGCAAGCGAAUCUCAUAAAGGACGUCUCAGUUCGGAUUGAAGUCUGCAACCCGACUUCAUGAAGCUGGAAUCGCUAGUAAUCGCGAAUCAGCAUGUCGCGGUGAAUACGUUCUC